AUGCUUACCUGGCAGAGGAGACACUGUGAUCACGAAGGUAGAUUUCCCAGGGCAAGGCUUAUCCAGUGCAUUCCAGGUGUGCUGACCACUGUAAUUUACCCAAAUGUGGGAAACUCGGUGGUGUAAUUUGUGGUAGUGGGGUCAGUUUGUGCUCUCCCCUG
rnacentral:snRNA from 1 species